GAAGAAGUUGAUGGGUGGGCUAUUACUCUCUGAAGCACAUCGUCAGUCCUUGAGCCAUGGAGCUAAAGUUGAUUGAGAUGUGUCACCACUCUUUCCUCACGCCGCUUCUAGAUACUCGAUAUUAGGGACAGCCAAAAUUGUUGAAUUGUGGGUACAAAUUAAGUGAUAAUAUAAAAGUGUGUUUGAUUCCCAAUUUUUUCAGAAUGCUGUUUUCUCUCUUUUUUUUUUUUUUUUUUUCAAUUACACAUUUUUCAAUAAAAUAAUAUUACAUGCAAAUCUAAAAAUUUCCUUAUUUUGAACCACACAUUCACCAUCAAUAAACUAUUUCAAAAUGUAUUUUUCCAAUUCUAAGGUGAUCAAAUAAGCCCUAACUUAUAGUUGUGAAAGGUGGACAAAACUAAGAUCUAUCGCAGAGUCCAACAUACUGCUCAAAAAAUUCAAGAAUUACCUUUCCAACCAAGUUUAAUGAAAGGUCCGCCAAAGGAAAUAAGAUGAACACAUGGUCCUUAAACCAUUUGGAAGAACAUAAAGACUUGGUUAGCUUUAAACUGUUUGAAAGAAUUUAAAUAUCGACUACCAUCAAGAAGUUCAAAAGAAUUUAAUAACACGAUUG
rnacentral:lncRNA from 1 species